GCGGCAUCGGUGUCCCUGGGUGGUGGGUCUCCCUCCUGUGUGAUGUGCUGCGCACCCCUUUUUGUUUGAGUGUGUUCACCUUUAUUUUCAGCGAGUGAGAGUGUCCACGUGUGUCUGGGGUGAUCCUUCAGAGGCCUUCAUUCCCCUUACUACCCGUGUCCCACCGAUGCCAGGGGAGAAGUAGCUCUGUCGCUGCUGCCUAUCCUGCUCCGUCCCCCUGUUUUCAAACACGGCAGGAAACUUGUCAGGGCCACUGUGGAGGAAUUGAAGAAAGCCUUCAUUGACGUUAUGCCUGUUGGAACUAACAUGGUGGAACACUUGGGGAAGCCCAGGGACUACCCUUACAUCCUGUUGCUGGGGGAUGGGAUACUUUGUUCCCAGGCCUUUGCCAUCAUCUGUGGAAAGGUUAUUGAGGCACAGACUGCUCUUGCAGCGGUGGACAUGUGCUUUAAGAGCUUCUACAUUUUUGAUACUCACUAUCCACCUGAAUGUGCACCUAAUUGGCAAUUCUUUCAGAGUGUCCUUUAUGAACUGGAGGGAACAGUUUCCCCAUCAGUGAACUUCAACACACCUGAAUCUCAUGAAGGUUCGUCACCAAGUUCAGCAGAAAGCCUGAUAACGAGCCUCAUUGCAAUCAACUGUGUUGAAGCAGGGCGACAUGGAAAACAUGCAGGUUUGUGGCCCUCGAGGACUGAAGUUUGAGACCCCUGCGAACAGCUUUCCUGUACUAAGAUGGCCAACCUCUGUGGACGUCGUGGAGUCUGCCUUAAAGCUCGUGUCCGGAGUUUCCGUUCGUUUCCAACGUAUGUAUCAUUUUUCAACAGAGCUUAAAUGUGUCAGUCUGGUUCGAUACUACAAUAU